UACGUAGGGUGCAAGCGUUAUUCGGAAUUACUGGGCGUAAAGCGUGCGCAGGCGGUUUUGUAAGUCAGAUGUGAAAUCCCCGGGCUUAACCUGGGAACUGCGUUUGAAACUACAAGGCUAGAGUGUGGCAGAGGGGAGUGGAAUUCCACGUGUAGCAGUGAAAUGCGUAGAGAUGUGGAGGAACACCGAUGGCGAAGGCAGCCCCCUGGGUUAACACUGACGCUCAGGCACGAAAGCGUGGGGAGCAAACAGG
rnacentral:rRNA from 1 species